rnacentral:snRNA from 1 species
GUGCUCACUUUGGCAACACAUAAACUAAAAUUGGAAUGAUACAGAGACAAUUACCAUGGCCCUGUGCAAGGAUGCCAUGGAAGUUCAUGAAGCAUUCCAUAUUUUU